UACAGAGGGUGCGAGCGUUGUUCGGAAUUACUGGGCGUAAAGCGCGCGCAGGCGGCUUCCUAAGUCCAUCGGUCAAAUGCCGGGCUCAACCCCGAGCGUGCCGAGGAUACUGGGAGGCUGGAGACACGUAGAGGCAAGCGGAAUUCCGGGUGUAGCGGUGGAAUGCGUAGAGAUCCGGAAGAACACCGGAGGCGAAGGCGGCUUGCUGGGCGUGAUCUGACGCUGAGGCGGCGAAAAGCGUGGGGAGCGAACAGG
rnacentral:rRNA from 1 species